rnacentral:tRNA from 1 species
GCCCACGUGGCGCAGUGGUUAAGUGCUUAACUGCUAACCGAAAAGUUGAUGGUUUAAAUCCAUCCAGGGGCU